AAUAAUUUAGUUUAACUAAAACACUUGAUUGUCAAUCAAGAAAAACCACCCAGAAGUAGUAAUUAUUA
rnacentral:tRNA from 1 species